CAUCUAAUCGCUGUCGAGAUUUUAGGCUGGCAAUUGCUCCACUGAUGUAACCUUUAUGCCUUCCCAUGUUUCGUAGUUAAUUAAAUCAUUAACGUUUUUGCUGGCACCUUUAACGUUUUUGCUCGAAGAUGAGGAUCGUGCGCCAUCCGGUCCGGUUCAUUUUAAUUUCCCGGGCCAACGUAUUCAAGCGAACGCCGGUUUAAAGAGAACCUCCGGUUUCUGCUUCUUCGUCUUCUUUCCCCACCGCCGAUGAGGAUCCCGAAGCAGAGAGGGCGGCGGCCGUCCAUCCUUCCGCCGCCAUCGAUUCUUUGCAGGCCUAGCGAUUGACCUACAUCGACUGCUUGGUCGCUCUCUUGUUCUGCUACGUGUUGUUGACGUCUUCGAGAUAUCGAAAUUAUCAUUGCCAUUUGCGAUGGAAUCGUUGUAAAAAGUUUCUCUUGAGUCCUAUCUGACGAAGUUGAUUGUGUUGCUACUUGUUCGUUGGAGCGCUUGACAACGCACAAAGAUGAUAGCGCCUUUAAAGUGUUUGUGUUAAUUUCAGAGCGAACUUAGCUGAACGAUACUAUGCUUCUUCAUUUAUGUGCAUUCUUAAGGUUGGGCUGCGCUAUCUAUUGCUAAUUGACGUUUGCACAAUUUGCAAUUUCGAGCUUUCUCGGUCAUUCUUUUAUGAAAUGUACAGAAGCACGCUUGUUGUAGUGUCUAUAUUAAUUUGAAGUGAAAGAGGAAGCUCAGUUGUCUAA